AGAUGUUGACCCGCUGGAAGUAGUUGAUCAUCAUGCCCACGAACAGAAGAACCGCCUGCCAGUGUCGCACGCCAAGACCUCCCGCUAAGAUGGGCUAAUCUCCUAAGCGGAUUCGGAACUACUCUGGCUAGCAGGGGUCUUCUCUCUCCACUGGAAUAAUAAACCAUGUCUGAUCAGUUACGGAAUUAACUGGCGUCUGGCCAUCCGAUUUAUUGAUUGCCCCAUUAUAAGUGCACGGUGCAAAUUGUUGUCACUUGGUCGAUAUUUUCUGGGACCUCAAUCUACGGUUUAUUGCCGUUUAACAAUGCUCUGAUAGUGAUGAUUUCAUUAAUUGCGGCGGAACUCUUUGGGUUUUAUUAUAAUAAUAUUUUCAUUAUCAUUAACGCCUGCCAAUGAGGAAAACAAAAGCAGCUGUGCUCUCAAUGGAAAAGUUCGCGUAGUGGAGGAGACUCCACCGUGGGACCAAACGUGUGAAUACAGUCGUAAAGCUCGAUUGCCUCCUCCUAUGAACUGGAACUGGAUGGAUCUUCAGAUUAGCUCACCAGAAAUUGUUUUCCCUGCAGAUGAACACGUUGGCCAACCUUCGCGCAGUUAAUAAAUAUUUUCUUUGUGUCAGGCCGA